rnacentral:rRNA from 1 species
AUGGCGGACUUCGCACUUGGGCUGACCAAGACGGCGGUGGAGGGGACGCUGAGCAGGGUAAAGUCGGCGAUAGAGGAGGAGGCCAAGCUCAAGGAGAAGGUGCACCAAGACCUGGUGUUCAUCAUCGGCGAGUUCCAGAUGAUGCAAUCCUUUCUGGAGACCGCCAAAUGGGAGCGUGCCAAGAACAAGGUGGCAAACACAUGGGUGCGGCAGCUCCGCGAGCUGGCCUUCGACGUGGAGGACUGUGUUGAGUUCGUUGUCCACCUGGACAAGGACUCUGCAUGGUGGUGGCGUGUGGUGCCUUCCUGCAUGGCACCACCACGGCACCUAGACGAGGCGGCCGCUGAGAUAAAGCAGCUCAAGGCCAGGGUGGAGGAUGUAAGCCAUAGGAACAUGCGCAACAACCUCAUCAGUGAUUCUGGCUCCCACUCGAAGAUCGUCAUGCCGAUGGCCCCGGCGGCCACCACCUCCAGCCCAUUAGCAUUCGACAACCUACGCCAAGUGUGGGAGGCUGCUGGGAAGAUACGUGACACCGGGGACCUUCAAGAUUUGAUCAGGCAUGAAGACAGUGACCUUCGAGUGAUAUCGGUAUGGGGAAGUACAGGAGAUGAUCUUGGAAUGACGUCCAUCUUCAGCAAGGCGUAUUGUGGCAAGAAAAUCAGCCAAGAAUUCAAAAGCCGUGCAUGGGUAAAGCUCAUACAUCCUUUUAACCCUGAAGAAUUCCUCAAGAACUUGCUGACUCAGUUCUACGAGAGCUCUCACCAAGCAAACGUAGAUGUUGGUCAUCUCAACAAGGCCCAGCUCAUGCAACAAGUGAUGGAACACAAGUAUCUCAUCAUCGUCGAAGGAGUAUCCACCGUGGUAGAGUGGAAUGCUAUUAAAAUGUAUCUUCCAAACAACAAGAAAGGCAGCCGGAUCCUUGUCUCGACGCAGGACUUAGGGAUUGCACUUCAAUCUCCUGGGGAGCCCUACCUAGUAUCAGAGCUCGGGCGGUUUUCGGAUGGAAAAUCACUUUGUGCCUUUUUCAAGAGGACCCCCCGACGGCACAGUGAUAUGGGUGAACUUAAAUGGCAAAUAAAAUGCCGCGGUGUGAUCUCGGUGCAUGGUAGUGCUCCGAGCAAAUCAAUUAUUGCCAGAAGGUUGUACCGCGGCAUAAUGUAUAACAGGGAAGAAUUUGAUGGAGUAGAAUUUCAAACACACAGAUGGGUCCAUGUGGUCCAUCCGUUCGAUUUGAUGGACUUCUCACGGCGCUUAUUUUUGGAUCUUUCCUCCUAUGGCUUCAAUGAUGAUGAAUUAGGAAAAAUAUUAUGUAAUCAAGACAUAGAUCCUCAAACUGAGGACACUAUUCAAGCAGUUUUAAAAAUGGGUGACCAUGACCUAUUUGAAGGGUGUCGUAGAAUUCUGGAUGAAAAUGAUUGUCUCAUCGUUAUUGAUGGCCUACGGUCGAGGGAUGACUGGAACAUGAUAAAGUCUACCUUAUUAUCCGGGCCUAUUAAAGGUUGUGUCCUGGUCAUUACAAAUGAAGAGUGUGUGGCCACACAUUGUGUCGAUGAUAAAGAUCGAGCGCUCAACUCUAAUUGUAGGGUAGCUGAGGGGCUCGCUCUUUCCACCAGAAAAGAAGAGGCACAGGACUGGACCAACAAUUUUGAACUUCUUAGGCAUGAAGAUAUAGACAUUACCAACCUUUUAAAAGAAGGUCCUGGUGUGGCGUCGGUGUGGGGUAUUGCAGGUGUUGGGAAAUCAGCUCUGGUGAAAAGUGUUUACUAUCGUGUAAUGCUUGGACUGUAUCCAAUUUAUCGGUGGGCGAAGGAUCCCAGGGAUAGAUUACGAAGGAAAUUUACAGCAUACAGCUGGGUCGAUGUGCCCCAUCCAUUCAAUUUGACGGAGUUCUCUCGGCGCUUACUUCUAGAUUUUCACUCAGAUGACCUUCAAGCUAAGGAAACUGCAAUAGUUGGCAUCAUCGAAGGCCAAGACCCAAUUCAAGGGUGUCGUAGAUUUUUGCGUGAACACGAAUGCUUCGUCGUUAUUGAUGGCCUGUGGUCAACGGAUGACUAG